AGGACAGCAGCAGAUGUGUCAGUGUUCCCGAGAGGGGAGCCUGGGGCAGGAAAGGAUCGUGCAUUGGUCUAUGUGAACGCUCAGGACAGCCUGUGCCAGGACAGGAGCCUUCGUAGGAACAUUUACUAUUAGGAUCAAAAACAGGCUGUGGUUAAUGGAAAGUAGAGAUGGGGUUUCACCGUGUUAGCCAGGAUGGUCUCGAUCUACUGACCUCGUGAUCCAACUGCCUCGGCCUCCCAAAGUGCUGGGAUUACAGUACUCUAAACGGUUCCCAAAGAAAUCACUCUGCACUCCUCGAACGUCUCCUCAAAAUGGCAUUCUACGUAUGCGGAUAGGAGGAAGAAAUAUAAAAUGGAAUAUCAAGAUGAAAGCAACAUCCUAACUCUAAGGACAAUAAACAAGUAGAAAUAUGACAUAUUUUUCUCUAUUUCAAACAAAAAAUUGUCGGUAACUGAGUGAUUCAUAUGAACCUAAGUAGGCUCUUUCUUAUCAACCUCCCUUGCUUCCUGUACUAAACAUAACCCAGCAAGUAAAAGAAAAAAACAUUCUGUUGUACAUACAACUCACAAUAAAGCUCUCUGAGGCACAGGUAUCAAUUUAUUUACUGUUCACUCAAACUCCAAAAUGAAAUAUGUUUCUAAUUGUUCUAACUUAAUAUUUCCGCUGUCGAUCCUGUUAUAAUAUUGAAGAUGGUAAGAAUGUUGUUUUAUAUUUAUUAAUAUAAAAUGAUCAUAAUAGUACCAUAAGACCAUAAGAGAUAAUACAUUAUUGAAAGACAUACCUGUCAGUCAAAUUAAGACAGGUUUUCUAUAUAUGAAAGAACUAGAGUAAAUAAAAAUAUUGAGAGAAAGAAAAUGGAAACAUUUUUAAGAGAGCAUAUUUUUAACAAGCAUUUUUUAAUGGAAAGGUAAAGUCAUAAUUUUAACGUAGAGUCACACACAUUGGCAUUUGAAUAAAAUGGAUUGUCUAAUUCUUUUUUCUGUAA
ensembl:lncRNA novel transcript, antisense to CSMD1